AACGAACGUUGGCGGUGUGGAUUAGGCAUGCAAGUCGAAUGAAUGUCAGUUUUGUAGCAAUACAGAGCUGGCGGAAAUGGCGAAAGGGGCAGUAAUGCAUGGAUAACCUACCUUGGGGAGUGGGCGAUAGCCGGUCUAACGGCCGGGUAAUACCCAGAGAUUCAGCGAGAGGGCAUCCUCUUGCUGGGAAAUGAGUUUCGCCUCGAGAGGGGUCCAUGUGCUAUAGCUAGUUGGUGGGGUAACGGCCGUACCAAGGCUAAGAUGGCUAGCGGGUGUGAGAGCACGACCCGCGCCACUGGCACUGAGACACUGGCCAGACACCUACGGGUGGCUGCAGUCG
rnacentral:rRNA from 1 species